UGCAUCAUCCCUAUUGAACAUGCUCCGAGUAAAAUGCUAGGUUUCACCCGCGCCGCCGUUCCUCUCGACCCGCAGCGGCCCCGCAAUUGAUCACGUCCUCUGCCGCCGGGCACGUCUAUCGAGCUCCUACUCCAGCAGAUCGACGUCGCCGGACCCGUCUAUCCCGUCUCGCCGCCUCUUGGCUCUACCUCGCCGCCGACUAGCUUCGAUAAGAGGCCCUGGGCGGGCGGCCCUGUCCAAACGCUAGAAAGAUGCAGAUCGAGCGAGGGGAUGUUCAACCUGGAAGCUCGAAUAAACGACGCAAAAAAAAUGCGCAUAAGUAGCGAAACUAUGAUUCGAGUCAAUCCUCUCGAAGAGGAAUUCGGCACCUCAAGUGAUUCCGGUGAAGGUGCCUGGAGUCUACUCACCGAAGAAGUCGCGGCACACAUUGAUGACAGUGUUGUGUCGCUCGCUUCAUUCCAUAA